UCAAGCUCUGGUUAGCCUCAUGGACCCACAUUUGUAUCCUGUGGUCCUGCAUGCCCACAAACUAUUUCCCUGCUGCCUCGGCUCUUUCUUCUUGUCCCCCCACCCCCAAAGACCUAUGCCAUUGGAUUGUGUUCUUGGCGACAGCACGCGAUGACCGGGUGAAAUCUGGCCAGUGUCAUACUUGUAGCGUGGCCACUUGCCCUGUCCAAGACGCAGAACAAAUUUAUGACACCAUGUCUAGUAAUCUGAUAUAUAGCGACUGUCUUGAAUGGCAAAAAAAAAAGGAUAAAACGCAGCAUAAAACAUUAUUACUUGUCAUAUACGUAACGGCAGAAUAUAAUCAUUCUAAUAUUAAUACUUUUGAAACAAAUCACUCCUUAAACACUUUUGACAAAUGAGGAGAGGUAAUAAAUGAUGCGCACUGCUGAUGCCACUUCUUUGCUUUGUCAUGCAACUCAUUCUUUGGCAUAAUCUGUCACACAAGUAUAUAUUAAGCAACCAUUUGUUUAAACUAGGGAUGCACAGUCAUUAUCGGCCCGAUAUUGGAAAAACGUCACACUGAUCGGUCCAAUACAAAAAAAAAACCCCAUAAAACUGGACCGUUAACGAGCUGUAUCAUUCGGCGGCGCGCUUGUCGCCACCAGCCAGUGUAACGGCUGCUGUUGCAUUGGCUCGUGACAGUCAUCGAUAUUUUUACCAAUAUUAUUUGGUAUUAUCCGCAGUAAAUUAGCAUGUGAUCGCCAGCACUUGUUGAAAUUAUGAUCAUCCAAUGAUUUUGAGUUUGUAGCUACAACACUCGCGGAAAGACCCAGCAGCCUACAAAUCAGCGGACCCGCUUUCAAGCGCAAGCUGACAAAGGAGCAAACGGGGCGGUUUGGCUGCGUGUGGAAGCAAGGUUAUCAUGAUGGGCUAACAGUAGGAAUGUAAUGAUAUCUCUAUCUCACGGUUCAGUUUUAUUACCGUAUUAAUCUCACGGUACAAUAAUUAUUGCGAUAUCAUAGGAAAGUAUUGCAGGAAGGUUCAUGAUACAGGUGGGGCAAAGAGGCGAAAGCAGGAAAACUGAAAAACCUCUUUUCUUGCUUGCCGAGUCUUUCUCAAUAGGCAUUAGUAGUUUCUGUACGUUUUCCCACAGGUUUUUGUGAAGAAGACACCUUGGUCAUAUUACUAUUCAUAUUACACUUCUAUCCCUGUCAAUCCAAUGUUUACAUUCAUGUAUACCAUAGCUCCAAAACACCAUUAUUAUUGCAGCAGCAAUCAGGCUAUGCUCACAAUAACAAAACUCUCCAUUGAGAAAUUGUCUGUUCACUAAUUUAACGGUAUUUUCUAUCAUAUUUGUUUUAAAAUUUAUAACAUUAGAAAUUGGAUACUGCUUACUAACAGUGAUUUCUUUGCUUGAGUCCAAAUAUGCAAGUUAUAAAUGCAGGAAUACUCUAAAAGGCAUGGGAAUCCUAUUAAUGUUUCUCCUCCUUACGAAGCACAAACUGCAAGUUUAAACUGUGUAAACAGUUACUCGGAGGAACAUGGGAAUCGAGCAGCCGCGAGAGAAUUCAAGAUCAACGAAUCCAUGGUUCGCAAGUGGAGGAAGCAGGAAAACAAGCUUCGCAGAGUCAAGAAGAUGAAGCUGAGUUUCCGCGGGAAAAAAAAGAAAAACAAAACGCGGAAACAAGGCGAGGUGGCCCAAGUUGGAAGACCAACUCGAGCAAUGGAUUAAUGAACUCCAACCGCUGGACAUCGGUGUAAACAGGGCGUUCAAAAGUGAAGUUGCGAGCGGCGUGGGAGCGACGGAUGACAAAUGGUGAACACGGCUUUACUAAGACGAGGAGGCAGUGCCGGGCGAUUUACGCCACAAUUUAUGAAUGGAUUGUGGAUGCUUGGGCUAACGUGUCUGCUUGCACCGUUGUUCGAGCUUUCGUAAAAGUCUGCAUCAUUUCUGAGGAGCCGCACGGCAACGAGACUGACUCGAACCUGACGUGUUUGAUUGAGAACGUGAAAAUAUGGUAAAUUUGCGUCCCAUCAGUCCUAGCAACGCUGUUUCAUCCUAUCCCAAGGCAGCUCACUUUUUUGUAACUAUGUGACCUGCAAGUGAGAACAGCCUCUCACAUGGCACACAAGUGACAGGGCUAAUCAGAUACUUAUGGGCCAAGACAGACAGAUGUGGAUGAGUUCCUGCUAGACUGGACCACCACUGGAGUGGGCUGAUCUGUUUUUGCUGAUGAUGGCCAUUACGCUGCUGUGCUACCACCUACGUAUAGACACUGGCCCGCUCGGGCCAGUACAAAUUUCUUUGUCUCCCAAAAUCUUCGCCCGCCGAAAAUGGCCCAAAAGUGCAUUUUCAGUGGCGUUCUGAAAUUCUUUUAUCACCAAAACAUUCUGUCCAGGACACGAUGUUGCGAUAACGGCACAAAUUUGGGUCGCCUCAAGACGAUAGCUGAACCGAAGCUAACGCUGCUUGCCUCAUACAGCAGCUUGUACUUUGCAGCCUGUAGAAUGUUAUUCUGCCCUCCCUGAGCGUGCUUUAAGCUGUUUGACACCCCAGUUAGAGUUUACUGUAAAACUAAACGCACUACAAAAAUAAUUACCUUCAUUUUAUAUUUAAAUACAAGAUACACAUCGUUUUAAAAAUCGAUGGGAAAACCCAAUUGACGGGCUAGCCUUUGGUCAUGGGACGGAUUUAUGGAUUCACCCAACAACGCCAUAGUAACACAUCCAGACAGGUAAUAUAAUAUAAUCUGUCAAAACGAGUUUUAUGUCGUGACUUUCUUCUACUCUUUUUGUUUAAAUUUAUUUUUAUUUUUAUUAUUAUUAUUAUUAUUUUUAAACUUGCAUUAAAGGUGCAGUGUGCAGUGUUGAAACUGCUAGCAAGAUUUGAAGGUAGCCUCACUUCACAACUCCCUCCCCCUCCCCCUCACCUCUGGCCGAAUCCACAUCCCUCACAGGCGUGUAUGUGCAAGUCACCAGCUGGCUUUACCGUGGUCAUCUUGUAGAAGCAACUUUGCCAUUUUCGGCAUAUCUUGUUCACCGAGUUCUCAAGAGGAGAGCACAGCUAUUGGUGACCACGGCCGACUACAACCCCUGGCCGAGUACAUCUCUGGGUCGCAGACGAGGAGGACAGAGUUGACAGACUGAGUUUAGAGUAAUCACGUUGUGAUCAAGACAUUUCUGCGACGUGACCCUAGCUCUAUAUUUUGACUAGAUAUCUGGGGAAGCUCCACGGACUUUUCAGCCCCUGAUCGAUGGAUUGGUGUUUACCAUCACUUCUGACACAUGACAAACCUCAUGGACACCAUCUUGAACGAGUGACUUUUAUGCAGAGCGAGAUGAAUAUGGAAUGACAUCUGGGCAGCUGAUGCCCUUUUGUGACCCUGGAGAGAACAACAGACAAUUCUGCCAAGGCCGCCGAUCGCCAAUAUGUAAUGUAGAAAAUCCCCAAGGGCAUUAUAUAUGAUUCAGACAACGAGGAAACAAAUUCCACAUUUUCAAAGCAUUGCUCCAGUAGAAAUGUGCAUGAUAUAUUACUUUAUAAAUAUUUGUGGAUCCAUUUGCACCUUCUUUUUAAAUUUACUUACCUCUACCAUUUUUAAAUUAAAUUUUUAUAAAUAAAGAACUGAAAAUUGUUUCUUUCUUCGCAAUUUCCACUCAGAAAUCAGUGUUACAUUUCGUAUCUCCUUCCUGUUCAUUAACAUUAGCGUCCUAUAUAACACUUGUUCAUAGAUUGUAUAUUUAAAACAAGAAAUAUUAAACUAAUUAAAAGUAUUAAACACAUUGUAUUUACAAGAUAUAUAUACAUGGUUUAAAUAUGUCAUUCUAAGAGGUUUGUCUGGUAUUCAAUCACUGGCUCGUGUCACUCCAAUCUUGACCGGGUCACAUUGAGAUAACUAUUACCGUAAUUUCUCAUGUAUAAUUCUCCCCCCCCAAAAAAAUUGUCAAAAGUCAAUAGUGCGCAUUAUCCAUAGGUAUAGGAGAAAAUGAAGAAGACUAACAUUUUAUAAAUGUAUGCUGCCAUCUAGAGGUUAUGAAAAAGGUGUAGCCGACACUUUCGUUCCAAUAUGACAAGGGGAACAUAU